ensembl:lncRNA
UGAAUUCAGUAGCUGCAGAAGUUGAUGGAGACAGGAAGAUGAGAUUAAUAUUGAAAUCUGUGUAAAGCAGAUUAGCCUUUAUAAUGUGGGUGAGCCUCAUUUGAAAAGUUGAAGGCCUGAGGAGUAGAACAAAGACUGACCUCUGCUGAACAAGAGGGGAUUCUGCCAGCAGGUCUGCAGUGGUUCAAGAUUCCAAACAUUGUUUCACAGUUAUGUUCCUUAUUAAUAGUCACACAUUUCACUAUCUCAUCACAUCGACUCCUGGGAGGUCUCAAGUGAGGUUUCUUAACAGGACAAAGGUGUGUCAUCACGUGAUUCUCCAAACUUCCAAGCUGAGAUUCUUGCUGGAAAGCAAACAGCACUCUUCGUUCUUCGAUGUCCUGAUGGCACAGAGGAAUGGUAAGGGCUUAUCAGGUCUUCAACAGACUGUGUGGACCCCUCUGAGCAUCUAUUCCCACCUCCCCCAUCCCCAAGACAUCCACAAUGAAGGUCCAUCCUCUCUCCAGUUG